rnacentral:tRNA from 1 species
GCCGGGGUCGCCUAGCUUGGUAGGGCGGCGGCCUGCUAAGCCGCUGGGGUUCGUCCCCGCGCGGGUUCAAGUCCCGCCCCCGGCG